AGCCGUGCGAUAAGCACAUAGCGAACUAUUCUUUCGCCUUUUACUAAAGAAUACCGUGUGUUUGUCGUACCAAGCGGCAUACGCCUAUUUUUGGAGGGUUGUCUCAUUUGAGAUCAU
rnacentral:snRNA from 2 species